rnacentral:rRNA from 1 species
AGUCACUGACAUUAGAUACCCCUGUAGUCCCAGCCGUAAACUAUGCGCGUUAGGUGUACUGGUGACCACGAGUCACCGGGGUGCCGAAGGGAAACCGUGAAACGUGCCGCCUGGGAAGUACGGUCGCAAGGCUGAAACUUAAAGGAAUUGGCGGGGGAGCACCGCAACGGGAGGAGCGUGCGGUUUAAUUGGAUUCAACACCGUAAACUCACCAGGGAAGACUGUUACAUGAAGGCCGAGAUGAAGACUCUGCUAGAUUUUCAG